GACGAACGCUGGCGGCGUGCUUAACACAUGCAAGUCGAACGCUGAAGCUUGGUGCUUGCACUGGGUGGAUGAGUGGCGAACGGGUGAGUAAUACGUGAGUAACCUGCCCUUGACUCUGGGAUAAGCCUGGGAAACUGGGUCUAAUACUGGAUACGACAUGUCACCGCAUGGUGGUGUGUGGAAAGGGUUUUACUGGUUUUGGAUGGGCUCACGGCCUAUCAGCUUGUUGGUGGGGUAAUGGCUCACCAAGGCGACGACGGGUAGCCGGCCUGAGAGGGUGACCGGCCUCACUGGGACUGAGACACGGCCCAGACUCCUACGGGAGGCAGCAGUGGGGAGUAUUGCACAAUGGGCGGAAGCCUGAUGCAGCGACGUCGCGUGAGGGAUGACGGCCUUCGGGUUGUAAACCUCUGUCAGCUCGGAAGAAGCGAAAGUGACGGUACGUGCAGAAGAAGCGCCGGCUAACUACGUG
rnacentral:rRNA from 1 species